UACUCGAGUGGCGAACGGGUGAGUAACACGUGGGUGAUCUGCCCUGCACUUCGGGAUAGGCUUGGGAAACUGGGGCUAAUACCGGAUAGGAGCUCCUGCUGCAUGGUGGGGGUUGGAAAGUUUCGGCGGUUGGGGAUGGACUCGCGGCUUAUCAGCUUGUUGGUGGGGUAGUGGCUUACCAAGGCUUUGACGGGUAGCCGGCCUGAGAGGGUGACCGGCCACAUUGGGACUGAGAUACGGCCCAG
rnacentral:rRNA from 1 species